GAUAGGGACCCCUCCAGUUUCCUCAAAGUCUGAAUAAGAAGCACUCAUCACAGAAUGUGAGGGUUGGAAAUGCCCAUUAGAGACCAUGCUUCACACUUCUUUCUGUUUUCCUGACGAAGGAAUCCAGCUGAUGAAUGUUGCCAGGUAAGCUGAGGUGGAGAAGGACCCUGCCAGGGUCACUGCAAGAAGAGCUUUGGGACAAAGCCAGUCUAAGAUACAUUGGAUUGCAGCCUGGAGUUCUAGUCAGAGGGAUGACAGAUCUUCAUAUUAAACACAGG